rnacentral:pre_miRNA from 12 species
AAUUUCACAUAGGUUGGGUCAGUGUCAAUGUUUGGAUUUAAUAUAACAUUGCACUUGUCCCGGCCUAUAUGCGAUUU